UACGUAGGUGGCAAGCGUUGUCCGGAUUUACUGGGCGUAAAGAGCGCGCAGGCGGUCGUUCAAGUCGCGUGUGAAAGCCCCCGGCUCAACUGGGGAGGGUCACGCGAUACUGAUCGACUGGAAGGCAGGAGAGGGUAGUGGAAUUCCCGGUGUAGUGGUGAAAUGCGUAGAUAUCGGGAGGAACACCUGUGGCGAAAGCGGCUCACUGGACCACAACUGACGCUGAGGCGCGAAAGCUAGGGGAGCAAACAGG
rnacentral:rRNA from 1 species